rnacentral:rRNA from 1 species
GGUAAGUGAGAKCGCGGCAGUGAGACUGUGGGGGAUAAGCUCCAUGGUCGAGAGGGAAACAGCCCAGAGCAUCGACUAAGGCCCCUAAGCGUACGCUAAGUGGGAAAGGAUGUGGAGUCGCACAGACAACCAGGAGGUUGGCUUAGAAGCAGCCACCCUUGAAAGAGUGCGUAAUAGCUCACUGGUCUAGUGAUUCCGCGCCGACAAUGUAGCGGGGCUCAAGCGUACCGCCGAAGUCGUGUCAUUCCAGCACAUACCCCCAACGGGGGCUGGGAUGGGUAGGGGAGCGUCGUGUGCCGGGUGAAGCCGCGCCGGAAGGCAGUGGUGGACGGUUCACGAGUGAGAAUGCAGGCAUGAGUAGCGAUACACACGUGAGAAACGUGUGCGCCGAUUGACUAAGGGUUCCUGGGUCAAGCUGAUCUGCCCAGGGUAAGUCGGGACCUAAGGCGAGGCCGACAGGCGUAGUCGAUGGAUAACCGGUUGAUAUUCCGGUACCCGCUGUGAAGCGUCAAACAUCGAACACUUCACGAGUGAGAAUGCAGGCAUGAGUAGCGAUACACACGUGAGAAACGUGUGCGCCGAUUGACUAAGGGUUCCUGGGUCAAGCUGAUCUGCCCAGGGUAAGUCGGGACCUAAGGCGAGGCCGACAGGCGUAGUCGAUGGAUAACCGGUUGAUAUUCCGGUACCCGCUGUGAAGCGUCAAACAUCGAACCAGGCGAUGCUAAGUCCGUGAAGCCGUUCCGGACCCUUCGGGGAAWGGAAAGUGGUGGAGCCGACGGACCAGACCUGUAGUAGGUGAGUGAUGGGGUGACGCAGGAAGGUAGUCCAUCCCGGGCGGUGGUUGUCCCGGGGUAAGGGUGUAGGACGUCAGGUAGGUAAAUCCGCCUGGCACAUAGUCUGAGACCUGAUGCCGAGCCGAUUGUGGUGAAGUGGAUGAUCCUAUGCUGUCGAGAAAAGCCUCUAGCGAGUUUCAUGGCGGCCCGUACCCUAAACCGACUCAGGUGGUCAGGUAGAGAAUACCGAGGCGUUCGGGUGAACUAUGGUUAAGGAACUCGGCAAAAUGCCCCCGUAACUUCGGGAGAAGGGGGGCCAUCACCGGUGAUUGGAUUUACUCCAUGAGCUGGGGGUGGCCGCAGAGACCAGCGAG